GGCCCAGAUCGUUUACCGUGAAAAAAUUAGAGUGUUCAAAGCAGGCAGAUCCAAUUUUCUGCCACCGAAUACAUUAGCAUGGGAUAAUGGAAUAGGACCCUGUCCUCCUAUUUUCAGUUGGUUUUGGCAGCGCGAGGACUAGGGUAAUGAUUAAUAGGGAUAGUUGGGGGCAUUAAUAUUUAAUUGUCAGAGGUGAAAUUCUUGGAUUUAUGAAAGAUUAACUUCUGCGAAAGCAUCUGCCAAGGAUGUUUUCAUUAAUCAAGAACGAAAGUUAGGGGAUCGAAGACGAUCAGAUACCGUCGUAGUCUUAACCAUAAACGAUGCCGACCAGCGAUUAGGAGACGUUGAAUACAAAACACCACCAUCGGUGCGGUCGUCCUUGGCGUCUCGGUUUCGGCCGGGGCGCGGGGAUGGCUUAGCCCGGUGGCACCGGUGAAUGACUCCCCUAGCAGCUUGUGAGA
rnacentral:rRNA from 1 species